UCUCCCAAAUUGAUUUUAUGCUUGCAUAAAUGAUUUUUGGAUUCGGAGCGAGUGGCGAACUGGUGAGUAACACGUGGGUAACCUGCCCCGAAGCGGGGGAUAACAUUUGGAAACAAGUGCUAAUACCGCAUAAUUAGUUGGAACCGCAUGGUUCCAACUUGAAAGAUGGCUCUGCUAUCACUUUGGGAUGGACCCGCGCCGUAUUAGUUAGUUGGUGAGAUAAAAGCCCACCAAGACGAUGAUACGUAGCCGACCUGAGAGGGUAAUCGGCCACAUUGGGACUGAGACACGGCCCAGACUCCUACGGGAGGCAGCAGUAGGGAAUCUUCCACAAUGGACGAAAGUCUGAUGGAGCAACGCCGCGUGAGUGAUGAAGGUUUUCGGAUCGUAAAACUCUGUUGUUAAAGAAGAACAAGUGUUAGAGUAACUGUUAACACUUUGACGGUAUUUAACCAGAAAGCCACGGCUAACUACGUGCCAGCAGCCGCGGUAAUACGUAGGUGGCAAGCGUUGUCCGGAUUUAUUGGGCGUAAAGCGAGCGCAGGCGGUUUUGUAAGUCUGCUGUGAAAGCCCUCAGCUCAACUGAGGAAGUGCAGUGGAAACUACAAAACUUGAGUACAGAAGAGGAAAGUGGAACUCCAUGUGUAGCGGUGAAAUGCGUAGAUAUAUGGAAGAACACCAGUGGCGAAGGCGGCUUUCUGGUCUGUUACUGACGCUGAGGCUCGAAAGCAUGGGUAGCGAACAGGAUUAGAUACCCUGGUAGUCCAUGCCGUAAACGAUGAAUACUAGGUGUUGGAGGGUUUCCGCCCUUCAGUGCCGCAGCUAACGCAUUAAGUAUUCCGCCUGGGGAGUACGACCGCAAGGUUGAAACUCAAAGGAAUUGACGGGGGCCCGCACAAGUGGUGGAGCAUGUGGUUUAAUUCGAUGCUACGCGAAGAACCUUACCAGCUCUUGACAUCUUCUGCCAACCCAAGAGAUUGGGCGUUCCCUUCGGGGACAGAAUGACAGGUGGUGCAUGGUUGUCGUCAGCUCGUGUCGUGAGAUGUUGGGUUAAGUCCCGCAACGAGCGCAACCCUUAUUAUUAGUUGCCAGCAUUUAGUUGGGCACUCUAGUGAGACUGCCGGUGAUAAACCGGAGGAAGGUGGGGACGACGUCAAAUCAUCAUGCCCCUUAUGAGCUGGGCUACACACGUGCUACAAUGGAUGGUACAACGAGUCGCGAAACCGCGAGGUCAAGCUAAUCUCUUAAAGCCAUUCUCAGUUCGGAUUGCAGGCUGCAACUCGCCUGCAUGAAGUGGAA
rnacentral:rRNA from 2 species